rnacentral:rRNA from 1 species
AGUCGUGGGGGCAGCAGGUUUGUAGCAAUACANNNNNNGGCGACCGGCAAACGGGUGCGGAACACGUACACAACCUUCCUUUAAGUGGGGAAUAGCCUAAGGAAACUUGGAUUAAUACCCCGUAAUAUUAUGAAGUGGCAUCACUUUAUAAUUAUAGCUCCGGCGCUUAAUGAUGGGUGUGCGGCUGAUUAGAUAGUUGGCGGGGUAACGGCCCACCAAGUCUGCGAUCAGUAACUGGUGUGAGAGCACGACCAGUCACACGGGCACUGAGACACGGGCCCGACUCCUACGGGAGGCAGCAGUAAGGAAUAUUGGUCAAUGGACGCAAGUCUGAACCAGCCAUGCCGCGUGGAGGAUGAAGGCCCUCUGGGUUGUAAACUUCUUUUAUCUGGGACGAAAAAGGGACUUUCUAGUUCAACUGACGGUACCAGAGGAAUAAGCACCGGCUAACUCCGUGCCAGCAGCCGCG